AUUUCAGGCACGGCCUACAGUAAAAGAUGUCCUCGAAGAUUAUCGUCGAAAAUACGAGGUGUUAUUCUACAACCGAACGCGUAGAUAAACAAAGUGAAUGAAAGAGAAAUACGAUCAGAUACUUCCUUACCUUUGGAAUACAAACUCUUGGGCGAAUUAAGAUCCAAAUCCGCACUGAGAAGCGAGAUGAAAUCAGAGGGCAUCACCUGGAGAAGGGAGGAAGAGUCAGGACCCCUCCAACGGAAUAGAUUCUGUUGAAUCUGUUCUUCGUUACCAUUUAAUUAUUAAUUCCGCUUUAAGUGAACAAGACCUUCUUCAGAUUCUCCUCUCUCCCCAAGGUAAAGAAGCGUUUGGAAAUUCAAGAUAAAAUUAGAAGCCAGGCGUGCGAAUGAACUGCGUGUUUCUAGUUAAAAUGGCUGCAUUUGGUCUCCAGUGAAGGAAAAGGAAAGUGUUGGUUCUGUUCUGUGUAAUCUCGCCAUACAAACUGCAUGAGACGACUACUCUCCGCUCCUUUUCAUCAUCGGCUCCAACCGACGUGACCUCGAGCCGCCGCCACCGCGCGCUCACGUCACUGGCCGGCGCACGCGCACCGGUCCCGGGAAUCCGAGCUUCUGGAAGUUGUGGUGCCCAUAAUGGAGUAUAGAAGCAAAAUGAUGCGCAUGCUAGAAAUGUGAAAUUUAAAAAAACAACGUGCUGAGAGAAAAAAAAAGACUCAGGAAAUUCUUCUUGGACUGCAAACGUUCACUGCUUGCUAACCUGCCCAGUGUUUCCAGCACUUCCGUUCGUUUUUAGCAUGAUGGGCCCCUACCCCCCCGCCUUUUGUGAAGGUGAACACACUGAGAGUGUACCCACAUGGAAAAGGAGGACAGUAAUGUAUGAGAUAAAAAAUGGCGGCAGUGAACUCCUUCAACCUGCUCUUACCUGUCAGAGCAGAAGUGUGACAUCACAGAAAACACAUGCUUCACAUUCUACCUCCGGGGUAAAUAGGGAGGAAGUCACAAAGAGGAUCCAGAAAAUUACAUACAUUUCCAACAAGAUCCAAGACUUGAGCAAGAACUCAUGUGUAUCAAACACAAUGUAACUUGCAAAUAAACUUUGUAUAAUUUGUGUA